rnacentral:rRNA from 1 species
AUUGAACGCUGGCGGCAUGCUUUACACAUGCAAGUCGGACGGCAGCACAGAGAAGCUUGCUUCUUGGGUGGCGAGUGGCGAACGGGUGAGUAACAUAUCGGAACGUACCGAGCAGUGGGGGAUAACUAAUCGAAAGAUUAGCUAAUACCGCAUAUAUUCUGAGGAAGAAAGCAGGGGACCAUUUGGCCUUGCGCUGUUUGAGCGGCCGAUAUCUGAUUAGCUAGUUGGUGGGGUAAAGGCCUACCAAGGCGACGAUCAGUAGCGGGUCUGAGAGGAUGAUCCGCCACACUGGGACUGAGACACGGCCCAGACUCCUACGGGAGGCAGCAGUGGGGAAUUUUGGACAAUGGGCGCAAGCCUGAUCCAGCCAUGCCGCGUGUCUGAAGAAGGCCUUCGGGUUGUAAAGGACUUUUGUCAGGAAAGAAAAAGGCGGGGUUAAUACCCCUGUCUGAUGACG